UUGGCUGGCCUUGUCUUCACGAGAGGCGCCAUCACGACCGGGUAUGGAAAUUGGGUCGUGACAGAGAGAAGGAAAUUCUUACCCAUGGUAUUCUUCAGAAUCGUCCCAGCUAAUCUCUCAUGGAAGUCUAUCUCAACUCCUAAGAGAUAUUUCAUUUCAUAAUUUAAACAAGUAAUCUCAAGGUUGAUCGUCAAUAUCAUGAAAGAACGAAGGUUGCAUAGCAAUAUAACUUGUCACCACAAAGAUGAUUUCAGAACUUCUAUUUCUUCCAAAAAAAUCAACUACUGUUUCCAGCUUUGGAGUGUAGUUUAUAAAUGCUUCCAUAUUAAAAAUUAUUAUGACUUUGGUAUUUCUGUGUUGUGAAUGAGCAAGAGGAUGGAUGACUUUUGUGUUGGUGAA